GGCUUCACAAAUUUGGCAGCACAUAUAUUCAAAUUGGAAUGAUACAGAGAAGAUUAGCUUGGCCUUACACAAGGAUGACACAUAAAUUAUGUAUAUAUACACACACAUA